UGUGGUUCAGUGGUGGAGCGCUUGCCUAGCAUGCAUGAAGCCCUGGGUUCGAUUCCCCAGCA
rnacentral:tRNA from 1 species